AGAGUGAACGCUGGCGGUAGGCCUAACACAUGCAAGUCGAACGGCAGCACAGUGGUAGCAAUACCAUGGGUGGCGAGUGGCGGACGGGUGAGGAAUACAUCGGAAUCUACCUUUCCGUGGGGGAUAACGUAGGGAAACUUACGCUAAUACCGCAUACGCCCUUUGGGGGAAAGCCGGGGAUCGCAAGACCUGGCGCGGAUAGAUGAGCCGAUGUCGGAUUAGCUAGUUGGUGAGGUAAUGGCUCACCAAGGCGACGAUCCGUAGCUGGUCUGAGAGGAUGAUCAGCCACACUAGAACUGAGACACGGUCCAGACUCCUACGGGAGCAGCAGUGGGAAUAUUGGACAAUGGGCGCAAGCCUGAUCCAGCCAUACCGCGUGGGUAGAAGAAGGCCUUGGUUAGUAAA
rnacentral:rRNA from 1 species